CGUAGGUGACCCUGCGGAGGGAUCAUU
rnacentral:rRNA from 1 species